rnacentral:lncRNA from 1 species
AGGCAACUUGAUGCAAGUACCUGGCACCCUUCAUCUGGCAGUUACCAAAGCACUAAAGGUGCUUUAAUUAACUUGCCUUGCCCAGAAACUUGAGAAACACUACCAUAUCAAUUUACCUCAUCCAAGAUGACCGACUCACCUUUGGUAAUCCUAAUCUAAAGCAAACAAAGAAAAUGCAGAACAACUAUAGGUGUAGAUAUUUGCUUACCAAAUGCUUGGUGUCAAAUCCCCAAUUUGCUUAAUUUCUUGUUCUGGAUUUCCACCAAAGAGGGGAGCCCAUAAUGAGAGAAUAUCAAAAACCUGGUCUUCAAGCUCCUACAAGUAACAAGAAUAGCAGCAUAACAUACACGUACUGUCUACAUCAACUGGUGAAUCUAAUAAUAAUUGUAUACCUCCUUUGGCAUAGAAGAUAAUAGAGAGGAUAGAAGUAGCCAUCCAGCUUCUUUUUCAACUGUUGCAGCCACAGGGUUGCGACUAGGUUUUGUUAGCAUUUUCUUUGCAACUUCAAGUACUGACCUAGGCAAUCUGAGUACAAAACAGGAUCAUAUAGGUUUCCAAAACAACCAGUAUAUGAGAUAAAAAUACAAGUCAAGAGUACCAUAGCCAUACAAAUAUGCGGCCAACAACCAAAGGGCUGAAUAUUAUUCUCAUGAAAUACUGUUCUAUAGAAAUUUGCAGAACAACCAAUGUUUUGACUGAAAUAUUUGAUUCCGGUCUCAAAGAAUCCUAAUUUAGUUGUACAUAGAAAUUUAUUUUAUCAGGUGAGAAUUAAGAUAUGGUUCAAAUAUCAACAUUUGCAAUAUAUUAGUCAAUAUUUAGGAAGGGAACUACAAGUUUCCUUUAACCUGGUAAAUUUUGGGUGCAUGCAUGGUUUUUUUUUUUUUUUUUGAUCCUUCAGACACUAAAAUUAGGUUUUAAAAAUUCUAUAGUUUUGUAAGAAAUACAUUAUUGUCCUCUAUAGAGAAAGGAUUAGAGUAUCAGAAUUCAGAAAAAUAAUUGACCAAAAUGCUUUAUUGAUAACCAAGAUGUAGAAACAACUCCAGAACCACAGAGAAAUAACAAGUACUGAGUAAACAAACAUAGUAACAACUGCUCCUAAGCAAGUAACAGAAGAAACUAUACAUAAAUGAAAAGAACAACUAACAAUACGACACAAACACAAUCUCUAAGAAGUGCUUUAAUAUAUUAUUGAGCAUUAGCCUCAGCCCGAGUAUAAAAUGCAAAAUAGACAAGCUAGUUUAUUGAUAUAAAGUAAAGAUGCUUUCGUGCUUAUCAUUUACUUGCUAUGUAGCCAUCUUUACAUAACUUUGCCCAAGCAAUGCCCAAAGAGUUUAUGCCUUUCUUGGUUGGACUUAAGCAACAUGCAACAUUCUUUCAAGUCCUAAAUUUUGAGCAAGAAGCAGACAUAUACGGGGAUGAGAAGGAGUUUCUUAAUUCUCACAAUUAGCACAAGUGGGAAAAGGGAAGACCAAAGUCUGCAUUAUACUAAAUCUUUAAUUUAGCAUUUAAAUGUUUCUCUUUUUGAAAGUGAAAUAUUAUGGAAAUCUUGACUUUUAUAUCCUCUGUUGAAAGAAUUCAAGUAAUUUCUUUAUUUUUCAAUUUCUGUUAAUUUAGCAUUUAAAUCUUUCUCUUUCUGAAAGUGAAAUUUUAUGGAAGUGUAGACUUUAGCCCCUGUACCAUUUUUAUUUUUUAAUAAAUUUUGGGUCAGUGAAUCAGUGAAUCCUUUAUAAUAGUGUCAAUCUCUUAUAAUUGAUUUCGUUUCUCUAUAUGCUACAUAUAUUGUUUCCUUUUGGUGCUUGAUAUUCUAUGGUGAUCAAAUAAAAUAAAGGAAUUACUUGAAUUCUUUCAACAAAGGAUAUAAAAACCAAGAUUUCCAUAAAAUUUCAUUUUCAGAAAGAGAAAUAUUUAAAUGCUAAAUUAACAGAAAUCUAAAAGCAAAGGAAUUACUUGAAUUCUUUCAGCAGAGGAUAUAAAAGCCAAGAUUUCCAAUCCUUCAACAGAAGAUAUAAAAGCCAAUAUUUCAUAUCCUCAACGCAGUCUUUACGUCCUUGGGUUUGUCUUUCUUUAUUUGCUGAUAAGAAGCCGGAAACAUGGCUUCUGUAUAACUGUUGGCGUAUACCAACGGAACGGAUAGUGGGGUGAAAUGGGCAAGUCAACGGGAAAAGAUGGCAGCCGGUUCCCGAACAAGAGGUAGGGGUACAUAAGUUCAGUUAGAAAGAAUGUAUGUGGGCAAGAAAGAAUCAAAGAAACUAGACUGUUCAGCUUCCAUCACUGCCCCCAUCGUUUUGAAUAGGAUUGUGAGUUGUGAAAAUAGCCAAAUAUUUUCAAAUUCUAAUUUAUUGUGCCAAGAAAUAAAUUUUUGGAUUUUUAUGCCAUUAUCCCCUUUUUUUUUUCAAACGGUAAUUUUAUUUAGUCUACUAAUGAAUGGGGAUUUGGGGUGGCUGUGGCACUAUCUUUCAAAUGUCAUCUUACGUCAUAUAUCUAGAUUGUGACACUGGCUUUCAAAUCAGGUACUCGUGUAUGCUUCUAUCCUAAGUUAUAGUUAAGUUUUGACAAUAUUAAGGAUCUAAUUUACUCAUGGUCUCUUCAUGAAAUUUGUUCCUCUAUAUCUUAGCAAUUAAGACUUUUUCUAUUAUGACUUUAUUUUAAUCUAUAAUCUUUUAAAUAUAAUUAUUUGUAUGUCAUUUAUUUUAGUCAUAACAUUUAUUUUCUUUAGACAGACUGCACCCGAAGGCUGCCUACGUUCCUCUAAUUGAGAAUCGGAUCCACGUAGCUCUUAACAAUAGAUAAUAAUAUAAAGUUUAUACUAAUAUAAUUUGUUCCUAUCAACCGCAUUAUCACAUUAUGCUACCCAAAAUUAUAUACAUAUAUAAAUUUAUAUAUUAACCAUUAUGAAUAUAACCCAUCAAUAAUAAUAUUUUAGACCAUUAGCCCUAAAAAGUACAGUGAAGGCAUCUUAAGUUAAUUUCUAAACAAAUCAAUUUUUUUUAACUCAAUCUGCAGGCCUGAACAUAGCUUCAUACCUAAGGCAACUUGAUGCAAGUACCUGGCACCCUUCAUCUGGCAGUUACCGAAACACUAAAGGUGCUUCAAUUAACUUGCCUUGCCCAGAAACUUGAGAAACAUUACCAUAUCAAUUUACCCCAUCCAAGAUGACCCGACUCAUCUUUGGUAAUGCUAAUCUAAAGCAAACAAAGAAAAUGCAGAACAACUAUAGGUGUAGAUAUUUGCUUACCAAAUGCUUGGUGUCAAAUCCCCAAUUUGCUUAAUUUCUUGUUCUGGAUUUCCACC